AUCACCUGCACCCAAUCAGCCAGCAUCGCCUGCACCCAGUCAUCUAGCAUCACCUGCACCCAGUCAUCCAGCAUCACCUGCACCCAAUCGGCCAGCAUCACUUGCAUCCAGUCAGCCAGCAUCACCUGCACCCAAUCAGCAUCACCUGCACCCAAUCAGCUAACACCUGCACCCAAUCAGCCAGCAUCACCUGCACCCAAUCAGCCAGCAUCACCUGCACCCAAUCAGCAUCACCUGCACCCAAUCAGCCAACAUCACCUGCACCCAGUCAGCCAGCAUCACCUGCACCCAAUCAGCUAGCAUCACCUGCACGCAGUCAAUCAGCAUCACCUGCACCCAAUCAGCAUCACCUGCACCCAUUCAGCCAGCAUCACCUGCACCCAAUCAGCAUCACCUGCACCCAAUCAGCCAGCAACACCUGCACCCAGCCAGCAUCACCUGCACCCAAUCAAUCAGCAUCACCUGCACCCAAUCAGCCAGCAUCACCUCCACUUGGAAGCUGCCCCAACUUCCCUUUUCCACCAAGCCAAAUAAUCGCCCACCUCUACUUCUGUGGCAUCCUUUGCAUGCUACUAAUCAGUGUCUUCAUUGUCCUGAACUGCCCCCCAAC
rnacentral:lncRNA from 1 species